rnacentral:rRNA from 1 species
CAUUACCAGAUUCCAUACCAAAAAAGACAGUGGGGAGAGAGAAGGCGCAUAACCACUUGCUGAGACCUGCCGUACCGUGACUGGCGUGUUCCGGCGCGGCACCUAGGGUGUCCACGGUUCAGGGUGUGCCAGCCAGGGAACCUCAUCCGUGUAGUCAAAUCCACGCUGCUUGGUGGUCCGGCCAGGCCCCAGGCAGUACAAGGAGCCGGAUCGAGCAUUAAACGCUCUGCACCCAUCCCACGCAGUUGGGUGAAGGUGCAGAGCGGAUUUCUGUAGCUAAAACCCCUGGCAAGUGGCUGACGACGCAAGCAUCGAUGAAGACGCAGCGAAAUGCGAUAAGUAAUGUGAAUUGCAGAAUUCAGUGAAUCAUCGAAUCUUUGAACGCACAUUGCGCCCUCUGGUAUUCCGGAGGGCAUGCCUGUUCGAGCGUCAUAAAUACCGCUCCCCCUCGGAUUGAUUGCGAUCCCUGGGGGGUUCUGGCAAUGUGGUCUCCCCGUGCUUUGAGGGCAUGCGAACGGGCUCCCAGUGCUGAAAGACAUAACGUUCCCGGCCGAAACCGGUGAUUAAUUUCACCGGCAGGAUUCGUGGCAGGCAGACUGAGGGCGUCAACCGUGGAGUCAUGAGGAUAGAAACCUCCCCCUUUGCAAGUAACAUUGCUCUGGCAGUUAGAUCUGCAGGCCUGCCGGUCUGGGGAUGGACCUCCCACUCGCAGGCGUCACGGCCACGAUAGCGGGCGUUAAACGGAAUCCGAUCCGCCUUCACUGGUGGUUGAAGAUCCUUGUGGGCUAGCAACCCCUAAACAUAUUUUGACCUCGGAUCAGGUAGGGAUACCCGCUGAACUUAAGCAUAUCAAUAAGCGGAGGAA